GUGGUUUAAUUCGAUGCUACACGAGAACCUUACAGGGUUUGACAUGCAAGUGGUAGGAAUCUGAAAAGGGACCGACCCUUCGGGGAGCUUGCACAGGUGCUGCAUGGCUGUCGUCAGCUCGUGUCGUGAGAUGUUCGGUUAAGUCCGCUAACGAGCGCAACCCUCACUGUGUGUUAUAUGUGUCACACGGGACUGCCGGUUUUAAGCCGGAGGAAGGUGGGGAUGACGUCAAGUCAGCAUGACCUUUAUAUCCAGGGCUACACACACGCUACAAUGGUCUGUACAAUGGGUAGCCAAGCCGCGAGGCGGAGCCAAUCCUGAAAGCAGGCCUCAGUUCAGAUUGCAGUCUGCAACUCGACUGCAUGAAGCCGGAGUUGCUAGUAACCGCAGGUCAGCAAUACUGCGGUGAAUACGUUCCCGGGUCUU
rnacentral:rRNA from 1 species